rnacentral:rRNA from 1 species
ACGGGGGUUGCAAGCGUUGUCCGGAAUUACUAGGCGUAAAGGGCAGGUAGGCGGAUCCAUAAGUUUUUUGUUAAAGGCAACGGCUUACCCGUUGUAAGGCAGGAGAUACUGUGGAUCUGGAAUGCGGUUGGGGAAGAGAGAAUUCCUGGUGUAGCGGUGAAAUGCGCAGAGAUCAGGAGGAACACCGAAGGCGAAGGCAGCUAACUGGACCGUCACUGACGCUAAGCUGCGAAAGUGAGGGUAUCAAACAG